CGUAGGGUGCGAGCGUUGUCCGGAAUUAUUGGGCGUAAAGGGCUCGUAGGCGGUUUGUCGCGUCGGGAGUGAAAACCUUGGGCUUAACUCAGGGCUUGCUUUCGAUACGGGCAGACUAGAGGUAUGCAGGGGAGAACGGAAUUCCUGGUGUAGCGGUGAAAUGCGCAGAUAUCAGGAGGAACACCGGUGGCGAAGGCGGUUCUCUGGGCAUGAUCUGACGCUGAGGAGCGAAAGUGUGGGGAGCGAACAGGAUUAGAUACCCUGGUAGUCCACACCGUAAACGUUGGGCGCUAGGUGUGGGAUCCAUUCCACGGGUUCCGUGCCGCAGCUAACGCAUUAAGCGCCCCGCCUGGGGAGUACGGCCGCAAGGCUA
rnacentral:rRNA from 1 species